GGCCGCAUGGCGCAACGGUAGCGCGUCAGAUUCCAGACUUGUGUGGAAUGUCCUGAAGGCUCUCUGUUCGAAUCAGGGUGUGGUCA
rfam:Clohesyomyces aquaticus strain CBS 115471 BCR34scaffold_237, whole genome shotgun sequence.